CCUACGGAGGGCUGCAGUGGGGAAUAUUGGACAAUGGGCGUAAGCCUGAUCCAGCCAUGCCGCGUGUGUGAAGAAGGCCUUCGGGUUGUAAAGCACUUUCAGUGGGGAAGAAAGCCUUGGGGCUAAUACCCUCGAGGAAGGACAUCACCCACAGAAGAAGCACCGGCUAACUCCGUGCCAGCAGCCGCGGUAAUACGGAGGGUGCGAGCGUUAAUCGGAAUUACUGGGCGUAAAGCGCGCGUAGGCGGUCUGAUAAGCCGGUUGUGAAAGCCCCGGGCUCAACCUGGGAACGGCAUCCGGAACUGUCAGGCUAGAGUGCAGGAGAGGAAGGUAGAAUUCCCGGUGUAGCGGUGAAAUGCGUAGAGAUCGGGAGGAAUACCAGUGGCGAAGGCGGCCUUCUGGACUGACACUGACGCUGAGGUGCGAAAGCGUGGGUAGCAAACAGGAUUAGAUACCCCAGUAGUC
rnacentral:rRNA from 1 species